rnacentral:ncRNA from 2 species
UUGAACCACGGCGAUGAUGUCCGCCGCCCCGGCCCCCCGGGGGAACCGCGCGAAGGCGCUGAUGACCUCUACCCCUCA